rnacentral:rRNA from 1 species
AUUGAACGCUGGCGGCAGGCCUAACACAUGUAAGUCGAGCGAGCGGCGGACGGGUGAGUAAUGUAUGGGGAUCUGCCCGAUAGAGGGGGAUAACUACUGGAAACGGUAGAUAAUACCGCAUACUAUCAGAUGAACCCAUCUGGGAUUAGCUAGUAGGUGGGGUAACGUCUCACCUAGGCGACGAUCUCUAGCUGGUCUGAGAGGAUGACCAGCAACACGGAGACUGAGACACGGCCCAGACUCCUACGGGAGGCAGCAGUGGGGAAUAUUGCACAAUGGGCGCAAGCCUGAGGCAGCCAUGCCGCGUGUAUGAAGAAGGCCUUAGGGUUGUAAAGUACUUUCAGCGGGGAGGCGUUAACCGCAGAAGAAGCACCGGCUAACUCCGUGCCAGCAGCCGCGGUAAUUC